rnacentral:rRNA from 1 species
CCUGGCUCAGAACGAACGCUGGCGGCAUGCCUAACACAUGCAAGUCGAACGAGACCUUCGGGUCUAGUGGCGCACGGGUGCGUAACGCGUGGGAACCUGCCUUUAGGUUCGGGAUAACAGUUGGAAACGACUGCUAAUACCGAAUAAUGUCUUCGGACCAAAGAUUUAUCGCCUUUAGAUGGGCCCGCGUUGGAUUAGGUAGUUGGUGGGGUAAAGGCCUACCAAGCCGACGAUCCAUAGCUGGUCUGAGAGGAUGAUCAGCCACACUGGGACUGAGACACGGCCCAGACUCCUACGGGAGGCAGCAGUGGGGAAUAUUGGACAAUGGGCGAAAGCCUGAUCCAGCAAUGCCGCGUGAGUGAUGAAGGCCUUAGGGUUGUAAAGCUCUUUUACUGGGGAUGAUAAUGACAGUACCCAGAGAAUAA